rnacentral:rRNA from 1 species
UACGUAGGGAGCAAGCGUUGUCCGGAAUCAUUGGGCGUAAAGCGCGCGUAGGUGGCCAUUUAAGUCCGCUGUGAAAGUCAAAGGCUCAACCUUUGAAAGCCGGUGGAUACUGGAUGGCUAGAGUACGGAAGAGGCGAGUGGAAUUCCUGGUGUAGCGGUGGAAUGCGCAGAUAUCAGGAGGAACACCAAUAGCGAGGGCAGCUCGCUGGGACGUUACUGACACUGAGGCGCGAAAGCUAGGGGAGCAAACGGG